CAGAGUGUAGCUAAAUAGUUAAGCCUCUCAUUUACACUGUGAAAAAGUCCGUGCAAAUCGAACCACUCUGA
rnacentral:tRNA from 1 species